UACGUAGGUGGCAAGCGUUGUCCGGAAUUAUUGGGCGUAAAGCGCGCGCAGGCGGCCUUUUAAGUCUGAUGUGAAAGCCCACGGCUCAACCGUGGAAGGUCAUUGGAAACUGGGGGACUUGAGUGCAGAAGAGGAAAGCGGAAUUCCACGUGUAGCGGUGAAAUGCGUAGAGAUGUGGAGGAACACCAGUGGCGAAAGCGGCUUUCUGGUCUGUAACUGACGCUGAGGCGCGAAAGCGUGGGGAGCAAACAGG
rnacentral:rRNA from 1 species